rnacentral:lncRNA from 10 species
CUGUAUUUUGCUAACAGUCCACCAACUAAUAAUCAGCCUGAACUCAGCAGUGCUCUGUUCCCUUGGGAGACGGACAGACACACGCAAACACACACUCACACACCAUUGGGAGACACACACACAACCCCCCCCUUGGGAGACACACACACACACACACACACACACACACACAGAGUUACAGAGUUGGUGGUUGUGCCGCCCUGAGCCUCCAGUCAGCCAGUGUGAGGAAGGGACCAGAUGGGUCAGGCAGAAAGGUGCUGGGUCGAGGGAGGAGGGGGCAGCCGGGGGCGCGCGCACGCUCUGGACUCGUGCACCCGCCAAAACGGAUGCGCGCGUGGCAUGCCGGGUUGAAGGCCCCGCUCCCAGGAGGCUGGAGGAGGCGGGGAGAGGCGGAGCUGGGAGAGCUCUGCAGGGCGGCCCCGCGGGUGGUCACGGCCGUGACAGCGGCUCCGGAGAGUCUCCCGUUCCGCGCCCCUCCCGCCGGAGAUGAGGGGAAGAUGUCCGUGUCCCGGCUCAAGGCCAAACUGAAGUUGCUGGCAUCUGUCUUCCACAAGAACCAGGAGCCCGCAGCCGCCGGCUCACGCUCCACAGCAACAUGACGAAUGGGACAACAGAGGAAGUGACUUCAGAGGAAGAGGAAGAAGAGGAGAUGGCUGAAGUAGGAUAAGAAUGACAUUUCAUAAAUGUCAUUUUUGAUUUGGGUAAUUCCAUGAAUCUCCUUUGUAAACUACUAUUAAUGUGCAAUAAUUGAAAGCACAUUGUAUUUGGAAUGGAAUAUAAUUUCUCAGCUCCGACUUUACCUCUAACUGAUGAUACGCCUUUGAGCAAAUGCUUUAUAUGAAUUCUUUGGAUUUGAUUUCAUGGAAAACAAAAGUCCUUAACUUUUACCACCAAAGUUGUAUUUAUAUUUAAUAGUAAUCAGUCCUUAACAUGCAUUCGGUUAUUUUUAGGAAGAGGAACUACUACGUUUAAAAAAUGUUAUGUUUGCAUAAAAGGAGAAUUUGAGAACAUGUUAGGGACUACUCACCAGAAGUAGUGAAACUGUCUCUUGUUGAAAAAUCAAGGAAUUUUCUCUCAGUCUGUUUUAUGCUGCUAUAACAGAAUACCAGAGACUGGGUAAAUUAUACAGAACAGAC